rnacentral:rRNA from 1 species
CGUAUAGCGCACGCAGAGCGGUCUGUCAAGUCGGAUGUGAAAUCCCCGGGCUCAACCGUGGGAACUGCAUUCGAAACUGGCAGGCUAGAGUCUUGUAGAGGGGGGUAGAAUUCCAGGUGUAGCGGUGAAAUGCGUAGAGAUCUGGAGGAAUACCGGUGGCGAAGGCGGCCCCCUGGACAAAGACUGACGCUCAGGUGCGAAAGCGUGGGGAGCAAACAGGAUUAGAUACCCUGGUAGUCCA